AUAAACACGAACGGUCACGGUUUUUCGGUGCGCGUUGUGCCGGAAAAGAAACGGGAAUUCGGUGCGUGAGGGCUGUCCUUGCAAUUCCGAAGCUGCCCCCGCAACUGUUGGCGGUGAGCGACCUGCGACGCCCACUGGCUUUUCAAAAAGGCUGGGAAGGGGCAGGUGCCGCGCUGAGCCGCAAGCCAGGAGACCGGCCGUGACUUGGUCAACUCA
rnacentral:ncRNA from 2 species